rnacentral:tRNA from 1 species
GGGGACGUAGCUCAAUUGGGAGAGCGCCUGGUUUGCAACCAGGAGGUUGGCGGUUCGAUCCCGCUCGUCUCCA